rnacentral:rRNA from 2 species
UUUGAUCCUGGCUCAGGAUGAACGCUGGCGGCGUGCUUAACACAUGCAAGUCGAACGAAACACCUUAUUUGAUUUUCUUCGGAACUGAAGAUUUGGUGAUUGAGUGGCGGACGGGUGAGUAACGCGUGGGUAACCUACCCUGUACAGGGGGAUAACAGUCAGAAAUGACUGCUAAUACCGCAUAAGACCACAGCACCGCAUGGUGCAGGGGUAAAAACUCCGGUGGUACAGGAUGGACCCGCGUCUGAUUAGCUGGUUGGUGAGGUAACGGCUCACCAAGGCGACGAUCAGUAGCCGGCUUGAGAGAGUGAACGGCCACAUUGGGACUGAGACACGGCCCAAACUCCUACGGGAGGCAGCAGUGGGGGAUAUUGCACAAUGGGGGAAACCCUGAUGCAGCGACGCCGCGUGAGUGAAGAAGUAUCUCGGUAUGUAAAGCUCUAUCAGCAGGGAAGAAAAUGACGGUACCUGACUAAGAAGCCCCGGCUAACUACGUGCCAGCAGCCGCGGUAAUACGUAGGGGGCAAGCGUUAUCCGGAAUUACUGGGUGUAAAGGGUGCGUAGGUGGUAUGGCAAGUCAGAAGUGAAAACCCAGGGCUUAACUCUGGGACUGCUUUUGAAACUGUCAGACUAGAGUGCAGGAGAGGUAAGCGGAAUUCCUAGUGUAGCGGUGAAAUGCGUAGAUAUUAGGAGGAACAUCAGUGGCGAAGGCGGCUUACUGGACUGAACUGACACUGAGGCACGAAAGCGUGGGAGCAACAGGAUAGAU